GUGGUCACUUUCACAGCAAACAUACUAAAACCGGGACAAUACAGAGAUUAGCAUGAAUCUAGUGCAAGGAUGACAUACAAAUUCAUGAAGCAUUCUCUCUCUCU
ensembl:snRNA U6 U6 spliceosomal RNA